GCCUGAUGCAGCGACGCCGCGUGCGGGAUGACGGCCUUCGGGUUGUAAACCGCUUUUAGCAGGGAGCAAGCCUUCGGGUGAGUGUACUUGUUGAAUAAGCGCCGGCUAACUACGUGCCAGCAGCCGCGGUAAUACGUAGGGCGCAAGCGUUAUCCGGAUUUAUUGGGCGUAAAGGGCUCGUAGGCGGUUUGUCGCGUCUGGUGUGAAAGUCCACUGCUUAACGGUGGAUCGGCGCCGGGUACGGGCAGGCUGGAGUGCGGCAGGGGAGACUGGAAUUCCCGGUGUAACGGUGGAAUGUGUAGAUAUCGGGAAGAACACCGAUGGCGAAGGCAGGUCUCUGGGCCGUCACUGACGCUGAGGAGCGAAAGCGUGGGGAGCGAACAGGAUUAGAUACCCUGGUAGUCCACGCCGUAAACGGUGGAUGCUGGAUGUGGGGCCCGUUCCGCGGGUUCCGUGUCGGAGCUAACGCGUUAAGCAUCCCGCCUGGGGAGUACGGCCGCAAGGCUAAAACUCAAAGAAAUUGACGGGGGCCCGCACAAGCGGCGGAGCAUGCGGAUUAAUUCGAUGCAACGCGAAGAACCUUACCUGGGCUUGACAUGUUCCCGACGGUCGCGGAGACGCGGCUUCCCUUCGGGGCGGGUUCACAGGUGGUGCAUGGUCGUCGUCAGCUCGUGUCGUGAGAUGUUGGGUUAAGUCCCGCAACGAGCGCAACCCUCGCCUCGUGUUGCCAGCGGGUAGUGCCGGGAACUCACGAGGGACCGCCGGGGUUAACCCGGAGGAAGGUGGGGAUGACGUCAGAUCAUCAUGCCCCUUACGUCCAGGGCUUCACGCAUGCUACAAUGGCCGGUACAGCGGGAUGCGACAUGGCGACAUGGAGCGGAUCCCUGAAAACCGGUCUCAGUUCGGAUCGGAGCCUGCAACCCGGCUCCGUGAAGGCGGAGUCGCUAGUAAUCGCGGAUCAGCAACGCCGCGGUGAAUGCGUUCCCGGGCCUUGUACACACCGCCCGUCAAGUCAUGAAAGUGGGUAGCGCCCGAAGCCGGUGGCCCAACCAGUUCGCUGGGGGGAGCCGUCUAAGGUGGGACCCGUGAUUGGGACUAAGUCGUAACAAGGUAGCCGUACCGGAAGGUGCGGCUGGAUCACCU
rnacentral:rRNA from 1 species